CGCUGAGCUUGGCAAGGUCACCGUGAAUCGUGGCCUGAUGGGUAGAUCGCAUGAUUUGCUUACAUCGCUGCACCUCGCUUCCCCCUUGCAGUCAGCCGUCCUUGCGGGCGUAUCCAAACAACUGAGAGAGCAACAGGGAGUCAGUCGAGAUGUCCGAUCGCGAAACCGGUACCGUCAAGUGGUUCAAUGAUGCCAAGGGCUUCGGCUUCAUCAGCCGCGAGAAUGGCGAAGAUGUGUUCGUGCACUUCCGCGCCAUCCAGACCCAGGGCUUCAAGAGCCUGAAGGAAGGCCAGAAGGUCACCUUCACCGUCGUCCAGGGCCAGAAGGGCCUGCAGGCCGACGCCGUGCAGCCGGACUGAUUCCGGCUGCCACUGGCAGCGAAAAGGCCCGCGUCAGCGGGCCUUUUCGUU
rnacentral:sRNA from 1 species